CCUACGGGUGGCAGCAGUGAGGAAUAUUGGUCAAUGGCCGAAAGGCUGAACCAGCCAAGUCGCGUGAGGGAAGACGGACCUACGGGUUGUAAACCUCUUUUGUCGGGGAGCAAAGGCGGCGACGUGUCCCCGUUUGAGUGUACCUGAAGAAAAAGCAUCGGCUAACUCCGUGCCAGCAGCCGCGGUAAUACGGAGGAUGCGAGCGUUAUCCGGAUUUAUUGGGGUUAAAGGGUGCGGAGGCUGUCUUUUAAGUCAGCGGUCAAAGCCCGGGGCUCAACCCCGAGCCCGCCGUUGAAACUGGCAGUCUCGAGUGGGAGAGAAGUAUGCGGAAUGCGCGGUGUAGCGGUGAAAUGCAUAGAUAUCGCGCAGAACUCCGAUUGCGAAGGCAGCAUGCCGGCUCAACACUGACGCUGAGGCACGAAAGCGUGGGUAUCGAACAGGAUUAGAUACCCCUGUAGUC
rnacentral:rRNA from 1 species